GGUUCCCAGGCCGGGUGGAGACCAACUCUGGGGUGUCUUGGUGGGAGAGUGGAGAGCCCGUCUUCUGCUGAGUGCUGCCGCCCCUUCCCAGGACAGCGGAGGUGGAACUUCGUCGCGCUGCAACCCCCGGCUCGGGAUCCUGGGGCAUCCUUUGGCAGUCGAUUGCACCCUGCACUAGAGAGAAGUCCAGGAAUGAUAUAUUCUUGGGCUAUAUUUCUCUACCCUGGAAUUCAUCCAGUUCAUCCCAGAAACACUGACCUGGUUACUGUGACAAAGUCUGAUGGAUAGACCCUUUCUGUUGACCUCGUGGCGUUUUUCUUUCAUGUGGAAGUUGGAAGACAAGGUGAAAGGGGCCAAAAGUUAUCUGCUUUGGUGAAUAGGAGUGCUCUACUUGGUUCUCAGAACAUGGGCCCUCGUUUAAAGCUGCAGCUGUGAUCCUCGGCUGUCUGUCGGCAUUGAAGGGACCUGAUGUUUUACGUUAUUGGUGGAAUCACAGUAUCUUUGGUUGCAUUCUUCUUCACAAUUAAGUUCCUCUUUGAGCUUGCCGCACGUGUAGUCAGCUUCCUCCAGAAUGAGGACCGCGAGCGCCGAGGGGACCGGACUAUUUAUGACUACGUGCGGGGAAAUUACCUGGAUCCCCGGUCUUGCAAAGUCUCCUGGGAUUGGAAGGACCCCUAUGAGGUGGGCCACAGCAUGGCCUUCCGAGUGCAUUUAUUCUAUAAGAACGGGCAGCCUUUCCCUGCACAUCGGCCUGUGGGACUAAGAGUUCACAUCUCUCAUGUCGAGCUAGCAGUGGAAAUUCCGGUGACCCAGGAAGUCCUUCAGGAGCCCAAUUCCAACGUAGUAAAAGUGGCCUUCACUGUGCGCAAGGCUGGGCGUUAUGAAAUCACAGUGAAGCUUGGUGGAUUAAAUGUGGCGUAUAGUCCCUACUACAAAAUUUUUCAACCUGGAAUGGUGGUUCCUUCUAAGACCAAAAUUGUGUGCCACUUUUCUACUCUUGUAUUGACCUGUGGGCAGCCGCACACCCUUCAAAUAGUACCCCGAGAUGAGUAUGAUAAUCCCACCAACAAUUCCAUGUCCUUGAGAGAUGAGCACAAUUACACCUUGUCCAUUCAUGAGCUCGGCCCUCAAGAAGAAGAGAGUACUGGUGUCUCAUUUGAGAAGUCAGUGACAUCCAACAGGCAGACUUUCCAGGUGUUCUUGCGACUCAUCCUGCAUUCUCGAGGCUGCUUCCAUGCUUGCAUUUCAUACCAAAAUCAGCCAAUCAAUAAUGGUGAAUUUGACAUUAUUGUCCUAAGUGAGGAUGAGAAGAAUAUCGUCGAACGCAACGUGUCCACUUCGGGUGUGAGCAUUUACUUUGAGGCUUAUCUUUAUAAUGCUACCAACUGUAGCAGCACUCCAUGGCACCUGCCACCCAUGCACAUGACCUCUUCCCAGCGCCGGCCAUCCACUGCUGUUGACGAGGAAGAUGAAGACUCGCCCUCUGAGUGCCACACCCCUGAGAAGGUGAAGAAACCGAAGAAGGUGUAUUGCUAUGUGUCACCAAAGCAAUUCUCAGUGAAGGAGUUCUACCUGAAGAUCAUCCCCUGGCGCCUUUACACCUUCCGAGUGUGUCCAGGAACAAAAUUUUCAUACCUUGGUCCUGACCCUGUCCAUAAGCUCCUCACACUGGUGGUGGAUGAUGGCAUUCAACCUCCUGUGGAGCUCAGCUGUAAGGAGAGGAACAUUCUAGCAGCCACUUUUAUCCGCUCCCUGCAUAAGAACAUAGGAGGCUCUGAGACCUUUCAGGACAAGGUGAACUUUUUCCAGCGAGAGCUUCGGCAGGUACAUAUGAAAAGACCACAUUCCAAAGUCACCCUGAAGGUCAGCAGACAUGCCUUGUUGGAAUCGUCUCUGAAAGCCACUCGGAAUUUCUCCAUCUCAGAUUGGAGCAAGAACUUUGAGGUUGUAUUCCAGGAUGAAGAAGCUCUGGACUGGGGAGGGCCUCGCCGGGAAUGGUUUGAGCUAAUCUGCAAAGCACUAUUUGAUACCACCAAUCAGCUCUUCACCCGGUUCAGUGACAACAACCAAGCAUUAGUGAGUCGGUGACGGGUGGGUGGAAAAUGUGGAUUAUGUUAUCAUGGGUAGACUAACAAGAAUUCAAAAUUAUGAAACUGAUCUGGGAACCUGACAACCUGUGUCCUAUUCUUAAUUUUA
rnacentral:sRNA from 1 species